AUCCUUGAAAAGACAGCCUUGAACAAAGGGCAGCCAAUAGUUCUACUCAUAAGACAUGGAGAAAUGCAAAAGACCCAUGGAGAUUUGUCUUCUAAUAGGCAGCAUCUUGCAAGGAGAACAAGAAGAUUUACACUAGCCAUGCAAGGAAUCUUUGAAAGUCUAGCAGACCUGACUUGAAGAGAAGGCUCUAAACAAGAAAUUCUUCAUUCUGGAACAGUGAUUCUUAAAGUGCGGUUCAGAGACCCUGGGAGACAUUGACAUUCUUUCAGAGUGUGAGUGAGGAUUUCCUCUUUGCAACUACAAUCUGUGUAAGGUUGGAUUUUCUUUACAUACAUAAACUAAAAUAAGAUUGCAAUAAGAUGAAUGCAGAAGCAGAUAAGAGAAUCCAGCUGUCUUAAGUUAGACUUCACAGAGAUUUGCAAAAAUCCAAACAAGACCACUCUUGUCAUUAAAGUUAUUUUCCAUUUGUUAUGGUGAACUUAUUUUGCAGGAAAUUUGUUAUUUAUAGUAACAUACAAUUUUGUUUUUUGAUCAUUUUAAAUAAAUUAAUAAAUAUUCUAAGUUUUCUAUUUUUAAAAUUAUACAUGUCAGAACAGUUCUUUCAGGUCCUCAACAAUUUUAAGACUAUUAACUUGUUUUGGAUCAAAAAGUUCUAGAUUUGCUAUUCUAGACAUGAAUCCUUUGAAAUUAAUUGGCUUCAUAAGUAUAUUUUUCAAGUUUGUGGCUUGUCCUGUACCCUUCUACUGUGUAGAAGUUUUAAAUUUUAAUUUAAAGAAAUUUAAAAUUGUUUCCAUUUUUGUUUGUGCUUUUGGUGUCAUAUUUAGGAAAUCCUUCUCUACCUUGAGUUCAUGAAAAUAUCCUCUUAUAUUUAGUAUUUACAGUUUGUUCUUCAUCUUUAGGUCUAUAAUUUAUCGAAAAUAUAGUUUUGUAUGUGAUGUAAGCUAAAGAUAUUUUUUAAAACUUGAUAUGGAUAACACAUUUUGGCAAUAUUAUUCAUCCACUCAUUCUCCCACUGACUUUCCCUCUGCCACUUACUUACCUAUAUAAGAAUUUGUCCUGGAGAUUCUCUUUUCUAUUCUUUCAGUCUAAUGGCUUAAUUGUUGAUCAAUUACCCUUUUUAACUAUUGAUGCUUUAGAGUAAGUCUUGAUAUAAAGCCAUGCAAGUCCCUUGAAUUAUUCUCCCAGUUUUCCUUCUUAAAAACAUUCUGGGAUCUUCCUGGCCUUUAACUUCUCUGACUUAAUUUUAGGAUCAAUUUCUCAGAUUACAUUAACAACCUGUUCAAAUUGCAUAGAUUUUACAGGUAAAUCUGUAUAAAAUUUACAUGUUAUAAUAUUGAGGCUUUUUAUCCAUAAACAUUUUCACCAACGUUUUAGUUUUAUAACUUCCAAUAAGAUUUUAUAAUUUUUCAUACCUAUCUUAGAUGAUUUUGGUUGCAUUUAUUUUUUAUAGUUUUAGUUUAGUUUUAUUGUCAAUGCAGUUUUUUCCAAUUCUAUUUUAUAACAGUUUUUCUGGUAAAAAAAAAAAAAGACUAUUUAUUUUGUGUAUUGGUUUUUAAAUUGUACAAUGUUUCUGAAUUUUCUUACUUCCAAAUAGUCAUCUAUAAAUUAUCUUGAUUGUCUAAAAUGUGAAAUUCAUAUACUAUGAGAAUGAUAAUUUUUUUUUUCAUUUUCAGUUCUUAAACUUCUGAUUACACUUGGCUGGAACCUCCUUCACUAGGUUGACAAUAAGUGGCAAUAGUGGUAUCCUUGUUCUGUUAUUGAUUCCAAGAGCCUGCCUCUAAUGUUUCCCCAUGUAUUAUGAUGUUUGUGUAAAUUUUGAUAGACCUUAUUUAUUAAGUAAAAAGAUUCUCUUCUAGUUCAAGUUUGGUCUAUAAGUUUUUAUUGUGAAAGUGAACUGAAUUUUAGAAAUACCUUUUAAUGUGUAUGAAAAAUUAUAUCUUUAUUUCUGUUAAUGUGAUAAAUUAAGGGAUUUUACUAAUAUUUGGUUAUCUUUGUAUUUCAACAAUUAUAGUCAUGAUAUUAUUAAAUAUUAAUUUGGUUAGCUAA
rnacentral:antisense_RNA from 1 species